rnacentral:rRNA from 1 species
UCGGGAAUUUUGGGCAAUGGGCGAAAGCCUGACCCAGCAACGCCGCGUGAAGGAUGAAGUAUUUCGGUAUGUAAACUUCGAAAGAAUAGGAAGAAUAAAUGACGGUACUAUUUAUAAGGUCCGGCUAACUACGUGCCAGCAGCCGCGGUAAUACGUAGGGACCAAGCGUUGUUCGGAUUUACUGGGCGUAAAGGGCGCGUAGGCGGCAAUUCAAGUCAUCUGUGAAAUCUCCGGGCUUAACCCGGAACGGUCAGAUGAUACUGCUUUGCUAGAGUGCAGAAGGGGCAAUCGGAAUUCUUGGUGUAGCGGUGAAAUGCGUAGAUAUCAAGAGGAACACCUGAGGUGAAGACGGGUUGCUGGGCUGACACUGACGCUGAGGCGCGAAAGCCAGGGGAGCAAACGGGAUUAGAUACCCUGGUAGUCCCUGAGCGGGCUGGCAAGGCGCAU